CCUCGCCCUAGGCGAAAACCGAUGUUAAUGUUGAUGUGUUUUAAUAAAUUUAUAUAAAUAAAAAAUAUAACAAAUUAUUAUUAUUUAUAUUAUUAUUAUUAUUAUAUUAUAUAUAAAAGAAAAGGAUAAAAUUAUUAAUUUAUUUUUGUUAUAUAUUUGUAAAAGACAAAAAAUUUUAAAUAAUUGUAAUUUUUAAUAAUUUAUAUAUGUAUAUAUUAUAAUUAACUAUAUAUAUUAUUUUAAUAUGGAGGAUUAUAUUUGUAAAAAAAAAAUAAAAAUUAUAAAUACAUCCC
rnacentral:rRNA from 1 species